CUGGGUUUUCCUCAUUUUCCUUAAAAGUUGUAUCUUCUAGCAUUCACACUCAUAAGUGUUGUAUUUGUUCACUGGUGGUAUGUUGUAAUGAUACUGGUGUUUGUGUGGUAGAAUUCUACUGGUCCGAUUGGGGAUGAACGGUUUAUUAAUGAAGGUUAUUUGUUGUUAUGGGCUUUUUAUUAUUAUAUAUAUUAAUUAAUGGCACUGAAACACCCUAGUUAGUCUAGGGCAUUAUAUUUGAACAAGUGGUUCAACUAUAGUCUGCCCAGGGUGGGGUUACAGUCUCAAUAAUUUUUGGUAAUCACAUGGGCAGAUUGGUUCUUGUCAGCAUGGAUACAAAGUAGGGUAAACGGGCUAGAUAUGCUCAGAUUCUGUGUGGAACUUGAUCUAUCUAAACCCUCUUUCUUUCGGUCGUCGAAGGGAACGAUCUGCGACGAAUUUGGACAAAUUGGGAGCUAAAUUGAGGAAGGAGUGCAAUCGGAUCUCCGGGCAUACCCUGCUGAGAAGGGUGUACCACUGGUACCCUGAAUCUUGCCCCUGAAUUCCAUUUGAGCACCUACCGUGACCACGGUACCUAACAACACAUAUAGAUAGAUUGUUAAAGGAUUUCAGCAACACUUUUGUGUUUUCUGAAUCAAAAUACACGACCUCAAGAGACCAGGAACAGCUUUGUUCAACUACUUUUGAAACCAAAGAUCCAAGGUUGGGAUCAAGUGGAUAAAAGUGUACAUAAAUCCAGCAAUUGUAUUUGUACCAUACAACCACACUUUAUAUCCCAAAAUUUCAAAAUUAGAAUAACAACAAAGCACAACCUGCAGGCCUAAGUUGGGUUGUCUUACAUUAGUAACUAGGCAGUGAAAAUGCUGGGGUAGGUUCUUGGAAACCACCCAUGGAUAGAAUACAGAAUACAGAAUGGGACAUACAACUCCAGUCAAGCUCCAGAGAGAGCUUUACUUUAGGGCCACAACCAAUCUGAGUAUUAACAUCAAGCUGAAACAAGUAUAGGGUUAAAAAGAGUGUUGGAAAUGUAUUUUAGGAGGAGGAGAAGUAAGAAAAAAGACACAGGUGAAUGUGGUUCGUCAAAUGCUGUUGAGAGUGACCUAACUCAUGAUCACCCCACCACUGAACAUAACAUGAUGACGUCCCUAAAAGUUUGGAUAUUUCACCGAGUUUAAACCUCAUAAGACACCAUCCACGUCAUGAGGCUCUGAUGCAGUGAACAAUAUAUAGAAACCACCAACUGAAAAUAGUGUUUCAUUAAGAACCCUAAUAAUAUUUUGAUCUUAAUUAACCGUUCUCCUAUGAAUCCAACCAUCAGGCUCUCUCGCUCCUAACUUUUCAUCGGAUAUAGAAAGCAGACGACAGAAAGACAAGUAGAAAUGGCGACCACCAAUGCAUUAAAUAAAGCUGUUUGUGCAAACAGUCAAACACUAUACCUUUCCGGCCACCUCACUGCAAUUAUUGGGGUAGUCCACAACAUACCGCAAACUGCAAGAAAACACCGCAACUGGAUAGUAGGGAAUGAGAAUGAGGGAGAAGGAAGAUCCAAAAAAUCGCCAGGGAGAAGAUGAGUGAUUGGUAGUAACCAGAUGCAGGCAGCUGAUGACGGCAGGACGGAACCAGCUGAUGAACUUGCAAUGAUAGGAUGUUGGGCUCAUGGGCUG
rnacentral:lncRNA from 1 species